rnacentral:lncRNA from 1 species
GCCAAAGUAGAACUAUUAAGAUAAAAGAAACCUUAGCAAAAGCUGUGGUAGCCACUGUAUGUUACUCAAAAUUAUAAUAGUCUAUGUUGCUGGAAGCUAUAUUAUGAGUAUACAUUCUUUUCAUUAUCUGUAAAUUUUUGGAAAGAAAUCAGAUCAUAUUACUGGCAUUUAACAAACAUGAGGUAAGUCAAUAGCAUUACAAUAGCCAAAUAAAUUAAAAUAAAAACAAAUGACCUAAGAUAUUCAGUGAGAGGCAAAGACAUUUUAAGACAGAACCUGUGUCCCUCCAUCUGGUUUUGGCCUUUAUAAUAACCUUAACCUUUGGCCUCACUUCACACAGGUGUCCUGGGCAGGACUGUGAAUGGCAAUGGAUUCAAAUGGAAACAUUUUCUUCACUUCUGCUUAAGAAAUGUGUGUUUGCAAUAUUACCCAAAGAACUACUAUCAUAAGACCACAAAACAUGUUCCUGCUAAAUGAAUGAGAGAGACAGCUAGAGAGAGACAGCCAGCGAGAGAGGGAACACAAGCAGGGGGAGUGGGAGAGGAAGCAGGCUGCCAGCAGAGGAGCCCGAUGUGGGGCUCGAUCCCAUAACGCCGGGAUCACGCCCUGAGCCGAAGGCAGACGCUUAAUGACUGAGCCACCCAAGUGCCCCUCUAUGCUGCAUUCUUAAUGAAUUCCUUAAAUUAUUCUUCUAAUUCACUGCUUUUCUCUUCUACACUAAUGUAGAAAUUAUUUUUCAAAUUUAAAUAACCAUGAUUUGUAUAUAAAUGUAUAGAAUUUGUUCUCUUUCAUGCCUAGCCAUUUUCAUUUUUUUUCCUUUUUAAAAAAUUAUUCCUUGCCAUUUAAAAAAUAGAAGUGUUCUUCCAUUUAUCAAUUUGAGUAUUCAAAGUCUUUAUUGGAAUAUUUCAUAAAAUUAAUUGGAGUAAAUGUGCCAAUUCUAGCUUUUUCUUUGCCACUUCAUUUUAUAUCACACUCUCCAUUUCUUUCUUCCCAAUCUUUGCCACUAUGAUGAUAAUCUUUGCUGCCUUAAGAUGAUCUCAGAUAUUUAAAUAUAAAUACAUAUGUAUAUCAUCUCCCAAGAUUUUAGGACUUAGUCAAGACAGGUUAGUGUUUGCUAUGAUCCCACUAAAGUACGAUCCUACUAAAAUAUAAAAUAAUACCUGAUAUUGUAUAGAUUAUUCUCAUUAAAUAACUAAAGAAAUAAAAAGUUAUUUUAGUGUUGAAAACCAAUCAGCCAAUGACUGAUUUAGAGUACUGUCAUGUUUCAGUUUCAAAAGGCAUGACCAAAACACAGCAACGUCAAAAUACAUUGCGACCACUCUUCUGGUUAUUUGUGUUACCCU